UACGGGGGAGCAAGCGUUGUUCGGAUUUACUGGGCGUAAAGGGCGCGUAGGCGGCCAGUGCAAGUCAGUUGUGAAAUCUCCGAGCUUAACUCGGAAAGGUCAAACUGAUACUGCUCGGCUAGAGUGCGGAAGGGCAACUGGAAUUCUUGGUGUAGCGGUGAAAUGCGUAGAUAUCAAGAGGAACACCUGCGGCGAAGGCGGGUUGCUGGGCCGACACUGACGCUGAUGCGCGAAAGCGUAGGGGAGCGAAACGGG
rnacentral:rRNA from 1 species